rnacentral:rRNA from 1 species
GAUGAACGCUGGCGGCGUGCCUAAUACAUGCAAGUCGAGCGGAGGGACGAGAAGCUUGUUGCUCUGAUGUUAGCGGAGGGGGGGUGUGAAACACGAGGAAAACCUACCUGUAAGAGUGAGAAAACUUCGGGAAACCGGCGCUAAUACGGGAUAAGAAUUUUAACCGCAUGGUUCAAAAGGGAAAGACGGUGUUGCUGGCACUUAUCGAGGGCUCCGAGCUGCAUGAGCUAGUUGGUACGGUAACAGCCUACCAAGGCAACUAAGCAUAGCCGACCUGAGAGGGGGGUCGCCCACCCUGGAGCGGAGCCACGGUCCAUAGUCCUAAGGGAGGCAGCAGAAGGGAAUCUUCCGCAAUGGGGGAAAGUCUGACGGAGCAACGCCGCGCGAGUUAUGAAGGUCUUCGGUUCGUAAAACUCUGUUACUAGUGAAGAACAUAUUUCUAAGUAACUGUGCAGAUCUUGACGGUACCUACACAGGAAGCCCCGGCUAACUACGUG